rnacentral:rRNA from 1 species
UACGGGGGGAGCAAGCGUUGUUCGGAUUUACUGGGCGUAAAGGGCGCGGUAGGCGGCGUGACAAGUCACUUGUGAAAUCUCCGGGCUUAACUCGGAAACGGUCAAGUGAUACUGUCGGACUAGAGUACAGAAGGGGCAACUGGGAAUUCUCGGUGUAGCGGUGAAAAUGCGUAGAUAUCGAGAGGAACACCUGCGGCGAAGGCGGGUUGCUGGGCUGAUACUGACGCUGAGGCGCGAAAGCCAGGGGAGGCGAA